rnacentral:rRNA from 1 species
UACGGGGGGGCAAGCGUUCGUUCGGAAUUACUGGGCUGUAAAGGGCUACGGUGGCGGCCACUAAGUCGGACGGUGAAUCCCAGGACUCAACCUGGGAACUGCGUCCGAUACUGGAUGGCUUGAAUUCGGGAGAGGGAUGCGAAGAAGUUCCAGGUGUAGCGGUGAAAUGACGCAGAUAUCAGGAGGAACACCGGUGGCGAAGGCGGGUCUCUGGGCCGGAUACUGACGCUGGAGGAGCGAAAGCGUGGGGAGCGAACAGG